rnacentral:rRNA from 1 species
GUACGAGAGGAACAGCGGGGCGUUGCCUCUGGCGUACCGGUCGUCCGAGAGGGCGUCGCCGGGCAGCUAAGCAAUUGUGGAUAACCGCUGAAAGCAUCUAAGCGGGAAGCCACUCCCGAGAAGAGUGAGCCUUGGACCCAAGCUACCUCCGCAAGGGGGUGGGGCGGGUCCAGAAGGGCGGCCAUAGAAGAUGGCGUUGAAAUGGUGGGGGUGUACGCUGGAAGCUUCGGCGACCAGUUCAGCCCGUCCACUAAUUACAGCCCAACGCUUGGAUGAG